AGUGAACGCUGGCGGUAGGCCUAACACAUGCAAGUCGAACGGCAGCACAGGAGAGCUUGCUCUCUGGGUGGCGAGUGGCGGACGGGUGAGGAAUACACCGGAAUCUACUUUUUCGUGGGGGAUAACGUAGGGAAACUUACGCUAAUACCGCAUACGACCUACGGGUGAAAGCAGGGGAUCUUCGGACUUUGCGCGAUUGAAUGAGCCGAUGUCGGAUUAGCUAGUUGGCGGGGUAAAGGCCCACCAAGGCGACGAUCCGUAGCUGGUCUGAGAGGAUGAUCAGCCACACUGGAACUGAGACACGGUCCAGACUCCUACGGGAGGCAGCAGUGGGGAAUAUUGGACAAUGGGCGCAAGCCUGAUCCAGCCAUACCGCGUGGGUGAAGAAGGCCUUCGGGUUGUAAAGCCCUUUUGUUGGGAAAGAAAUCCAGCUGGUUAAUACCCGGUUGGGAUGACGGUACCCAAAGAAUAAGCACCGGCUAACUUCGUGCCAGCAGCCGCAGUAA
rnacentral:rRNA from 1 species